rnacentral:rRNA from 1 species
UAAGACAGAGGUCCCAAGCGUUAGGCGGAAUCACUGGGCUUAAAGCGUGUGUAGGCGGAUUUGUAAGUACCUUGUGAAAUCCCACGGCUCAACCGUGGAACUGCUUGGUAUACUGCUUAUCUUGGGCCAUCUAGGGGCGAGCGGAACAAACGGUGGAGCGGUGAAAUGCGUAGAUAUCGUUUGGAACGCCAAUGGUGAAAACAGCUCGCUGGGGAUGUGCCGACGCUGAGACACGAAAGCCAGGGGAGCGAACGGGAUUAGAUACCCCGGUAGUCCUGGCUGUAAACGAUGUCGACUAGAUCGUAGUGGCUCUGACGCUAUUACGGUCGAAGCAAAAGUGCUAAGUCGACCGCCUGGGAAGUACGGUCGCAAGGCUA